rnacentral:rRNA from 1 species
CCUACGGGAGGCAGCAGUGGGGAAUAUUGGACAAUGGGCGCAAGCCUGAUCCAGCAAUGCCGCGUGUGUGAAGAAGGCCUGCGGGUUGUAAAGCACUUUUAUCAGGAAAGAAACGGCCUGGGUUAAUACCCCAUGGCAAUUGACGGUACCUGUUGAAUAAGCACCGGCUAACUCCGUGCCAGCAGCCGCGGUAAU